UAAAGGAAGAAAGAUGUUUUAGAGAAAGAUGAUCCCCAAAACAAUAUAGAGCCUUUAGAGGUUUUCUGAAAGCUGCCAAAGGAACAGUCAGAAUGGAUUUCUUAUCAAUCAGCAGUCAAAAUGUACAACCUUAGUAAACUCUCAGCAGUAUGUUCCUUUUGAUCCAGAUGCACUGAUAAAUAACCUUGAUGUCGAAACCAUCAGGCUGGGCUAAGGAUCAUAUGGAUUUUUGUUUCCACCACUUGCCACCAACGAUUGAACUGUUUUCUCUAGCUGCUACAAAAGACCUACAUGUUCCUCAGAAUUUUACCAAUUGAAAGCCACAGUAAGUCAAAAGAUUCAAGUUGGAAAAAAAGAAAAGGAAAGAAACAUUCAUGUUAGAGAUCACAUAAAAAAAGCUAGUUUAAUUGGAAUAUGAAAAAAACUGCA